GCGUCCUUAGCUCAGUUGGAUAGAGCAACAGCCUUCUAAGCUGUGGGGCGAAGGUUCGACUCCUUCAGGACGCGCCA
rnacentral:tRNA from 4 species